AGUAGCGAUUCUGUUUGUGUUGUGAGAGUGUAUAUAUAUCAAUAUAAAUAUGUACUAUCUUUCUUGGUGACCAAGCUACGCCCAAUAGAAGCGUCUGUUACUUUGUGAAACACAAUUUUCCUUUUAUUGCUCUCCGGAUUUUUCUCUCUGUACCCUAUUCAUCUUCUCCUCCUUCACUGAUUGGAGCACUGUUUCAAUGGCAAUGCCGGCGGCUGGUCGAAAGAGAAAGCGAAAGAGAACAUUUGCCACCAAAAGAAAGCUUUUUGUUGGUCAAAGAGUAGAGGUGAGGAGUGAGGAAGAUGGGUUUCAGGGCUCUUGGCACUCUGCCACUGUCAUUGCAUGUUAUAGUCAAGGUCGUCGUGUCAAAUACGAGAACAUCCUACAGGAUGAUGGGUCUAAAAAUUUUGAGGCUGAUGUGCCUGUUUCACCUGUAUUGGAUGGCAUUGGUUUUGCCAAUGAGAACUGUACUUAUCGUGGGUGUAUAAGGCCUUUGCCACCUCUUGUUGAGUUUAAAAAAUUUGGCCUUCCCUAUGGACUGUGUGUGGAUGUGUUUUACCAGGAGGCUUGGUGGGAAGGUGUGAUUUUUGAUCACGAUGACGGUUCACAUACAAGGAGGAUUUUCUUCCCAGAUUUGGGUGAUGAAUUGGAGAUGAGAAUUAACAUGUUGAGAAUUACUCAUGAGUGGAAUGAGGUUACGGAGAAUUGGCAGCGCCGCGGGACUUGGUUAUUUCUUGAGUUGAUUGAAGAAUAUGAGCAGGAGGGGGGGUACCUUGGUGUUUCUGUGAAGCAAAUUUGGUAUGACUUGCGGGAUAAAAAAGGUUUUGAGAAGAUUAAGGAGUGGACCUGUAUGAGGAAAGAUUUGUGGAAAGAGUUGGUGUUGGAAGUCAUUAAUGAGAACCUAAAUAUUAUUAUAAAAGAUGUAUUUCAGGUUUUGGUUUGUUCUGGGGGCUUGUUUCAAGAAACCAAUGGUGUAUUGGAGUCAGCUAGAACUGCCGUUAAUGUUGAUAUUAGCCCUGGAGCAGAUUUGGACAACUCUCUCGCGAUUGUCCCUGUUGAGAACUCAGCGUGUAGUGAUAUGUUGGUUGAUGAAGAGAAAUGUGCUACAGAUGAAUUAAUUUCUACUUUGGACAUUAAUGGGUCAGGUAUGAAUAUUUUGGCAGACUCAGAUGUACCCUGCCAUGGUAAAGCAUUGUGUUUGGUAGCUGAGUCUUCGUCUGUUUUACCUUCUAAUCCAGAUGGAAUUUCUAGCACUAAUUCUAUGACCUUCAGUGAAGAUUCUACUGUCAUUUCCAAUAAGAUCAAUGGGAAGCUCAAAUGUUUGACACGCAGAAAAACUGCAAAUUGGCUACCUGUUGGCUCUGAUAUACUUCCUGGAGCUGCAUUCUACCCGGAUGCUGUUACUGAUUAUGCACUUGGGAGUACGAAUAGUGGAAUAUCUAGGAAUUCUUUAAUUAGUAAUCUGCGGCAGCAUCUUUCAUACCUGGGCUGGAAAAUUGAGUCAUGGAGAGAUGGGCACACACUUAGAUUACGGUAUACCUCACCUGAUGGUAAAUUUUAUUAUUCACUUCGUCAGGUCUGUCACUAUAUGAUUGGAUCCACCACAGAGAUGAUUUCUUCAAUCGCAGAUAAUCAGAAAAGUGUGUAUGUUUUACCCGGUGAUCCAUCUUCAACUCUGCUUCUAGAACAAAAAGAAGAAAAUCAGGAUCCUGAUUAUUGUCAUCAAACUGUGAUGUCUUCUGAGUCUGAUGUAUUUAGAGUAAAACCAGAAUUUUGUCCUCAAGCUGUUGUGGACUAUUAUAUGCAUCCACUAGAUAAGAGAUCUAAAAUGUUGAUAGAAAAGGCACGGAAGCACCUCUCGGCAGUGGGGUGGCAGAUGCGGUACUCAUAUACAAGAGGGAAGCCUGAGAUGCGCUACAUUUCGCCAAGAAGAAGGACAUAUUGUACACUUCGAUCAGCAUGCAAAUGUUGUCUGGAUGAAGGAACUCCUGAAAGUGUUGCUUCUGGCUGUGGAUCAAUUCAAAGCACACAUGCAAUUGAGGAAGAUGAAGGACAAUUAGGUAGUGAUAAAUCAUCUUUGGCAGCAAGUAAUGCACCAUCCAGAAGGGGGUCCAGAGAGUCUUCUAGUAUAUCACAGUCAAUCGAAAAAGUUCAGGGGAUAAGAAAAAUUUGUGGAAAUCGAAAGGCUGAUUUUUUUCACCAUGCAUCCCAGUCUCUUCGAACACAACGCAACUUAAAAGCUAUGAAAGAUGGCUCAGCAAUUGGAUUCAUAAGUGAUGAAAAGCUGAAUUCAGAGGAUCAAAAUGCCAGCCUCCCAAAGUUAAAAAGAAGAAAGGUUUCUAGAGCGUUGAUAAAAUUAAGAGAUGAUCUGGAAAGUAGUCGCCUUACCCGUGUGCUGCGAUCAAGCAAAAGAAUACAGAAGGUGGUUCCUCCUAGUACCUCACACCAGACUCGUCGAACUAUACUCUCUUGGUUGAUAGACAACAAUGUGGUAUUGCCAAGGGCAAAAGUAAAUUACUGUAGCAGAAAGAAAAAGAAACUAAUGAAAGAAGGGCGGAUUACUCGUGAUGGGAUAAAGUGCAGCUGUUGUCAAAUGGUGUUUACUCUUCCUGGCUUCGGAAUUCAUGCUGGCAGCAAGUGCCAAAGACCAGCUCUUAGUAUUUUUCUGGAAGAUGGAAGGUCUUUGUUGGAUUGUCAAAUGCAAAUAAUACGUGAUAAUAAGAUGGGGAGCUCCACUGGAGAACUGCCUGAUAGAAUGAAGGGAAAUUGCCAUCAAGGCGAGAAUGAUUACAUUUGUACUGUUUGUCACUAUGGUGGUGAAUUGAUUUUAUGUGAUCAAUGUCCAUCAGCAUUCCAUAAGAUUUGCAUCGGUUUGAAGGAUGUCCCUGAUGGUGACUGGUUCUGCCCAUCGUGCUGCUGUGGAAUUUGUGGGAAAAAGAAAUUUAGAAGCAACAAUGCAGAUCUAGUUGAUGACAGCAUACUCACUUGCAGUCAGUGUGAGCAUAAAUAUCAUGUUGGCUGCUUAAAAAAUAGAGCGGCAGAUAAGUUGGAAAAUUUUCCUGAAGAAAAUUGGUUCUGCUGCAAAAAGUGUGAACAGAUAUUUUUGGGACUCCACAAGAUUUUAGGUAAACCAAUUCCAGUGGGUGUAGACAAUCUCACUUGGACACUAUUAAAGCCUAUGACAUCUGAUAAUCAUGAUAUUGAGGCCUUUACAGAGAAUUACAGCAAACUUAAUAUUGCUCUUGAUGUGAUGCAUGAGUGUUUUGAGCCUGUUAAGGAGUCUCGCACCCGGAGAGAUCUUGUUGAAGACGUUAUUUUUAGUAGAGGGUCAGAGCUUAACCGUUUGAACUUCCGAGGGUUCUAUACAGUGCUUUUGGAGAGAAGUGAUGAAAUGAUUUCUGUGGCUACUGUAAGGAUCCAUGGGGAGAAGGUGGCAGAAAUACCUCUUGUUGGUACCAGGUUUCAAUAUCGUCGACUUGGAAUGUGUCGCAUCUUGAUGAAUGAGCUUGAAAAGAAACUCAUGGAAUUAGGAGUCGAGAGGCUUAUUUUGCCUGCAGUGCCUAGUGUGCUGAACGCAUGGACUACUUCAUUUCUGUUUACAAAGAUGACUGAUUCUGAGAGGUUGCAGUUUUUGGAUUAUACUUUCCUGGAUUUCCGGGAUACUGUCAUGUGCCAGAAACUCCUAACAAAGAUCCCUCCAGCAGAACCAAGCCCAGAAAGAGGAACCCAGAAUAAGACUGUUGGUCUUGUCUGCAGAAAUGGUGAUUUGGAUGUGCCAAGUGUGGUCUCUGAAGUAUAUCAACUGGAGCAGAUUGAUGAGAGCAGAAUCAUGGAACAAGGAUUGGUGGUUCCUGCAGGCACCAAUGGAAAUGGUAGCAAUGGUCCAGUUGAUAUGGUUGUCAAGGUGGACCAACAGGAUUGUCUUAGUGAAGUCAGUCGAGAGCGCUUGCUUGACGAUGACAAUUUUAAUAAAGGAUUCAGAAGAAACAGUAAUACUUUUUUCAAGUGUUACAAGCGGAGGGCAUUAGCCAGCAGAAGUUGAGUUUUGUUCCCUUUGCCCAGACAGCUAAAUUGACUGAUCUAAAUGUAUCAGCGUAUAUAAUGAAAAUAAGAGCAUGGAAGAUUUUUGGUGCAGUUAAUAGAAUUGGUCGAGGACCUCAAAUUUUGGUUUGCAAGAUGCGUAGAUUCUUCCUUGUACAGAAUACAUGAGAAGACUUUGGGUUUCUUGGGUCUCAGGUUAUGCUUCUUUUAAUGUAUAGUUAAGGGAGAUAUAGCAAUAGAGCUCACUUCUAGUUGCACAGAAGGCUGCGCAGUAGAAAUGGGUGGGAUACUGAAGUUGAUGUUCCAGUCUCACAGCUAGUGUAGGUGUACACUCUCUCGUCUGAUAACUCACACACCAUAACAUGUACUAUCUUUUCACCUACUUUCUUUCAUUUGUCCUUUUCAUGCUUUUCUUCGUGCUGAAGAAAUCUGGUAGAAAAAUGCUAUAGAUUUGAAAAGGAGGAAAUCAUCCCACAAAUUCGUGCUAAACUGUUCAACUGUUAACCAUGGUUAAUAAUAUAUAUGUUUACUUUCUUGA